GGGUUUGUGGCUCAGUGGUAGAGCACUUGCUUAUCAUGUGGGAGGCACUGGGUUUGAUUCACAGCACCA
rnacentral:tRNA from 1 species